rnacentral:rRNA from 1 species
AUACGUAGGGGGCAAGCGUUAUCCGGAUUUACUGGGUGUAAAGGGAGCGUAGACGGCAAAGCAAGUCUGAAGUGAAAGCCCCGGGCUCAACCCGGGAAUUGCUUUGGAAACUGUUUAGCUGGAGUGCAGGAGAGGUAAGCGGAAUUCCUAGUGUAGCGGUGAAAUGCGUAAAUAUUAGGAGGAACACCGGCGGCGAAGGCGGCUUCCUGGACUGUAAAUGACGUUGAGGGUCGAAAGCGGGGGGAGCAAACAGGAUUAGAUACCCUGGUAAGCAACGCCGUAAACGAUGAUUACUAAGUGUUGGUUGUCAUAGACAAUCGGUGCCGCAGCAAACGCAAUAAGUAAUCCACCUGGGGAGUUCGUUCGCAAGAAUGAAACUCAAAUGAAUUGACGGGG